UACGGAGGGUGCAAGCGUUGCUCGGAAUUAUUGGGCGUAAAGGGCAGGUAGGUGGUCUCAUUUGUCUGGGGUGAAAGCCUUGGGCUUAACUCAAGAAGUGCCCCAGAAACGGUGAGACUCGAGUACUGGAGAGGUAAGUGGAAUUCCCGGUGUAGCGGUGAAAUGCGUAGAGAUCGGGAGGAACACCAGAGGCGAAGGCGGCUUACUGGACAGUCACUGACACUCAACUGCGAAAGCGUGGGGAGCAAACAGG
rnacentral:rRNA from 1 species